AAGGGUCUCAUUAAAUCAGUUAUGGUUCCUUAGAUCGUACAAUCCUACUUGGAUAACUGUGGCAAUUCUAGAGCUAAUACAUGCUACCCAGCUCCGACCUUCGGGGAAAAGGGUUUUUGUUAGUACAAAACCAAUCCGGGCUCCGGUCCGGUCCCCUUGGGGACUUUGAACAAUUUUGUGCUGAUCGCACGGCCUGGGGCCGGGGACGUAUUUUUCAAAUGUCUGCCCUAUAACUUUCGAUGGUACGUGAUAUCGCCUCCCAGGGUUUUCCCGGGUAACGGGGAAUCAGGGUUCGAUUCCGGAAAGGGAGCAUGAAAAACGGUUCCCCCUUCCAAGGAAGGCGCCGGGGGCCCAAAUUACCCCCUCCUGACCCGGGGAGGGUAGGGAGGAAAAAUAACAAUACGGGACUCUUUCAAGGCCCCGUAAUUGAAAUGAGUACACUUUAAAUCC
rnacentral:rRNA from 2 species